rnacentral:tRNA from 1 species
GCGGAUGUGGCGAAAUUGGCAGACGCGCAUGAUUCAGGUUCAUGUGGGAAACCAUGCAGGUUCAAGUCCUGUCAUCCGCA